CCUACGGGAGGCAGCAGUGAGGAAUAUUGGUCAAUGGGCGCGAGCCUGAACCAGCCAAGUAGCGUGAAGGAUGACUGCCCUAUGGGUUGUAAACUUCUUUUAUACAGGAAUAAAGUGAGGCACGCGUGCCUUUCUGUAUGUACUGUAUGAAUAAGGAUCGGCUAACUCCGUGCCAGCAGCCGCGGUAAUACGGAGGAUCCGAGCGUUAUCCGGAUUUAGUGGGUUUAAAGGGUGCGUAGAUGGGUGGUUAAGUUAGUGGUGAAAGUUUGCGGCUCAACCGUGGAAUUGCAAUUGAUACUGGCCGCCUUGAGUGCAGUUGAGGUAGGCGGAAUUCAUGGUGUAGCGGUGAAAUGCUUAGAUAUCACGCAGAACACCGAUUGCGAAGGCAGCCUACUAAGCUGCCACUGACAUUGAUGCUCGAAAGUGUGGGGAUCAAACAGGAUUAGAUACCCCGGUAGUC
rnacentral:rRNA from 1 species